UGAAAUUGAGGAUUUAAAGAGGGAGGCAGUGAGAACGCUGUCAAGGCAGCGGGGAAAUACAGACAACAGGGAAAAACCUACGUUGUGGAGGACGGAGACGUCAUCUUUUUCAAAUUCAACACGCCGAACCAGCCCAAGACUAAGAAGUGACUCAGUCACAGUCUGUUGGCUACCAGAAUGGACUGUGCCGUUAGAUAAUUCGUCUUCUUUGUUUUAGACAGAAUGAAGCUGGAGAUUGUGAUUGAUACCUGCCAGGUCGGCUCAGUCCUACCUACUGCCCACUCUGCCACAUUAUCCCUGUUUGUUUUUGGUUCAGGAGAAUUCCAUACAGUCCCCCUUGCCAAAGAACAGGUCCACUAAACGUUGACAGCUUUUGGUAGGAGCAUUUGAAGAAGCGUAUUACUCUCUUGAUACUUCAUUAAUCUCCAUCACUGGUGCCAGGCCUGACACAGCUGACAGCAGGGACAAUGCGACCUGCUCCUCUCCCCCUUCCAGAGAUAAUGCAUGUUUUACAGUAGCCCAGAUGUCUAUACUCAAUAAAACAUUUGACAAAAACCA